AUUGAACGCUGGCGGCAGGCCUAACACAUGCAAGUCGAGCGAGCAGCGGACGGGUUACUAAUGUAUGGGGACUGCCCGCUAGAGGGGGAUAACUACUGGAAACGGUGGCUAAUCCCUCCUACUAUCCGCUCCCCCAUAUGGGAUUGGCUAGUAGGUGGGGUAAAGGCUCACAUAGGCGACGAUCUCUAGCUGGUCUGAGAGGAUGAUCAGCAACACUGGGAAUGAGACACGGGCCAGACUCCUACGGAGGCAGCAGUGGGGAAUAUUUCACAAGGGGCGAAAGCCUGAUGCAGCAAUGCCGCGUGUAUGAAGAAGGCCUUAGGGGUGUAAAGUACUUUCAGCGGGGAGGCGUUACCCGCAGAAGAAGCACCGGCUAACUCCGUGCCAGCAGCCGCGGUAAUAC
rnacentral:rRNA from 1 species